rnacentral:lncRNA from 1 species
AUGGCCAGAUGUAGGAUUCCAAGUAUUUUAAUGUUUUAUAAUAUCAAAUUGAAAAACUGCUGGUUGGUGUUUGCCACAGGAUUAGUUUUCACAGAUGGCUCAGAAAAAUGGACACAUAUAACAGCAUAUGGUAGAGUUCUUUUAAUUAGGAAGUUUUACUGCACCAUAAUGAUAAAACAGAAAUUUAAAAGGCAUGAAGACUUUAAUUAUCUGUGAUUAUGUUAUGACAUAACUCUCUUGUUUUCACUAAAUCAAUCUCCCCAUGUUAUUAGGCUGUUGAUAUUUUGAUCAUGUACAUAAUUCUUAAAAGCUAGAGUAAAUAAUAGGCCAGGUUAUAUUCAUGUAAUUGUACACAAGCCAAAUUUACAAACAAUUACCAAAAUCAAUAUAUAUACAGAGGAAAAAUUAGAUGAACUGAAAAAGCAGGUUAUCAAGUCUCACUAAGUUUUUAUCUCAAGACAUUAUUAUUUAUAUUUUGCUUGACCACUGAUUCAACUAAUGUAGGAAGAGCUAACCCAAGGGAUUUGAUCUAGCACACUCAUAAAUGAAAAAUGAUAUAUAUGAGUUUAUCUCCUGCUAUGAGUUUUGGAAUUGAGAUAUGGUACGGUGACACAUUAUUAUAAACUGAAUGUUUGUCCCCCUGACCCCGUUAAUAUGUUGAAUCUCUAACUCCUAGUAUGAUAUUUGGAGGUGAGGGUCUUGGGAGAUAAUUGUGUUCAGAUGAAGUCAUGAAGGUGGAAUUCCCAUGAUGGGAUUUGUAUGCUUAGAAGAAGAGGAAGAGAGAUCAGAGCUUCUCUUUCUUUGCCUUGUGAACCCAUGGUUGGAAGCCAGGAAGAGGAUCUUCCCCAGGGACUGAAUCCGUCAGCAUCUUGAUCUUGGACCCCCAUCCUCCAGAGCUGUGAAAAAUAAGUAUCUCUUGUUUUAGCAACUUGGUCUGUGGUAUUUUAUUUUAGCAGCCUGAGCUGACUGAGACAACAGGGCACCCUGAUGAGGUUGGGAUCAGAAGGUAGAUCAAAUUGGAGGCACCAAUUCAUUCAUCUCAGUUUUAUACCCACCAUAGGAGAUUGUGGGAAGAAGAACUGAACCUUGAGUAGCCAGUGAACUCCUUGAAUCUAAAUCUCUGAUGUGUGCUGGUCUAGUUGUGUAUGUUCCUGAUGAGAAUGUUUGAAACCAGAUCUUACCUUAUAUUUUGUUGAGUGUUACAAUGAGUAGGUUACCCUGUGUUUCUCAACUUAUUGGACUCUCAAGAGGAAUUGAUGGGACAUCUAGAUCAUUUUUUUCAUAGCUGGAUGUUCCUUUUGACCUCAGGUAGAAAAUAUUGGGUAAUUUUCUUUCUCCAACUAAACCUCUUUGUAAAUACAGAAAAACAUAAAUAAAAAUUGAAAGGAAAGUAGUCAAACAUAAGUUGUUUAUGCAGAUGGGCAUCAAAAACAUGAAUCAAAGGCAUUUUUAGUAACUUUUGUAUUUAGAGUAUUUGUCAAGGCACUCAUUUAAGCUAAAGUGGGUAGAAGUCAUUUAGUUUCACAAAAUGCCCACAAAUACAUAUCAGUGCUCAUGGGUGCCUCUGUUUAGUGUUUUUCUCAUUCAUACCUCUUAGCCAAAAAAUGAUGUCAGGGAAAAGAAGAAUUUUUUUUUAGAAAUCAAGACAUUGGGAAAAGAUUUUUAANNNNNNNNNNNNNNNNNNNNNNNNNNNNNNNNNNNNNNNNNNNNNNNNNNNNNNNNNNNNNNNNNNNNNNNNNNNNNNNNNNNNNNNNNNNNNNNNNNNAAGACAUUGGGAAAAGAUUUUUAAGAAAAUAUCUUUGAUGAAGCCAAGUAGAAAUGAUAAACAGUGAUCUCUGCAAUAAAGAAUUUGAAUAGUGAUUCAAGUAUAAUAUGGAGUUCAAAGUAACACUAUAUGUAAAGAUGUUAAUUAUGCAAGUGGAGAUUUUAACUAAAUAUUCAAAUUUAUUUUAAAAAUAGGCUUACUUUAAGAGAUUCUUCCUUUUAAUGUUGGCAGGUAGUGCUUUAUUUUCAUGUUUUUGCUGAACACUUUCAUAGUAACCAAUGAUAAUCUUGUCAUAUCAACAAAACUUAUGUUAAUAUUUCUCUAGACAUAGAGAGUUUUCCAAAUUUGCUGGCAUAUUGAGUGCAGCACUUUCACAGGAUCA